GUCAAAUGAAUAAGGGCUCAUGGUGGAUACCUAGGCACCCAGAGACGAAGAAGGGCGUAGCAACCGACGAAACCCUCCGGGGAGCUGGAAGCAAGCUCUGAUCCGGAGAUUCCCGAAUAGGGCAACCUCAAGGGCUCCCUGUUGAAUGCAUAGACAGCUGAGAGGCAACCUAGCGAAUUGAAACAUCUUAGUAGCUAGAGGAAAAGAAAGCAAACGCGAUUCCCCCAGUAGCGGCGAGCGACAAGGGAUCAGCCUAAACCGGGCUUCGCCCGGGGUCGUGGGACCGUCCAAUCAGCAACACAUACGUUAGGCGAAGCAGUUGAAUCCUGCACCAAAGAGGGUGAAAGUCCCGUCGCCGACAACUCCAAAAAGUGUCAACAAUGAUCGGAUGGAUCCCGAGUAGCAUGGGGCACGUGAAAUCCCGUGUGAAUCUGCGAGGACCACCUCGUAAGGCUAAAUACUCCUGGGUGACCGAUAGUGAAUUAGUACCGCGAGGGAAUGGUGAAAAGAACCCCCAUCGGGGAGUGAAAGAGACCAUGAAACCGUGAGCUUACAAGCAGUGGGAGGCUUGUAGGGCUGACCGCGUGCCUGUUGAAGAAUGAGCCGGCGACUUCUAGGGAGUGGCUUGGUUAAGGACCUAGAUCCGGAGCCAGAGCGAAAGCGAGUCUGAUAAGGGCCUGUGUCACUUCCUAGAGACCCGAACCCGGGUGAUCUAACCAUGACCAGGAUGAAGCUUGGGUAACACCUUGUGGAAGACCGAACCGACCGAUGUUGAAAAAUCGGCGGAUGAGUUGUGGUUAGGGGUGAAAUGCCAAUCGAACUCGGAGCUAGCUGGAUCUCCCCGAAAUGCGUUGAGGCGCAGCGGUAGACGGUUUGCCGAUGCAAACCCAAGGGCUGUCCAGGGGUAAAGCACUGUCUCGGUGCGGGCUGCGAAAGCGGUACCAAAUCGUAGCAAACUCUGAAUACUGGACAUUGCUUGCGGUCUACCAGUGAGACGGUGGGGGAUAAGCUUCAUCGUCAAGAGGGAAACAGCCCAGAUUACCAGCUAAGGCCCCAAAAUGGCCGCUCAGUGGCAAAGGAGGUGAGAGUGCCCAGACAACCAGGAGGUUUGCCUAGAAGCAGCCAUCCUUCAAAGAGUGCGUAAUAGCUCACUGGUCAAGCGCUCUCGCGCCGAAAAUGAACGGGACUAAGCGGCCUGCCGAAGCUGUAAUUGUGAACAACAAGGUAGGGGAGCGUUCCGCCUGAGGGAGAAGCUAUUCCGGAAGGGGUGGUGGACAAGGCGGAAGUGAGAAUGUCGGCUUGAGUAACGCAAACGCUGGUGAGAAUCCAACGCCCCGAAAACCUAAGGGUUCCUUCACAAGGUUCGUCCAUGGAGGGUGAGUCAGGACCUAAGACGAGGCCGACAGGCGUAGUCGAUGGCAAACUGGUUAAUAUUCCUGUACUGUCUACAAGGUUGGUACCAAGGGACGGAGCAGGCGACGUGGACCGGGGUAGGCUCCGCAAGGAGGCCUCGGGGAAAGUAGGCAACGUGGACGGGCAGAACAAAGCAUGCCAAGAGCGAAGCCGCGAGGUUUCCGAGGAAACAGUUUUGGCGCAAGCUGGGGCUGGAUCCAAAGUUACUCCACUUCUCGUCAUACUCCCAAGAAAAGCUUGAACUACUGAACACCUUGUAGCACCUGUACCCGAAACCGACACAGGUAGGUAAGUAGAGAAUACCUAAGGGCUCGAGAGAACUCUCUCUAAGGAACUCGGCAAAAUGGCCCCGUAACUUCGGGAGAAGGGGUACCCCCUCGGGGGUCGCAGUGACCAGGCCCAAGCGACUGUUUACCAAAAACACAGGUCUCCGCAAACUCGUAAGAUGACGUAUGGGGGCUGACGCCUGCCCAGUGCCGGACGGUUAAGGAAGUCGGUUAGGAAGCUUCGCUUUCAAAGCUGGCGACUGAAGCCCCGGUGAACGGCGGCCGUAACUAUAACGGUCCUAAGGUAGCGAAAUUCCUUGUCGGGUAAGUUCCGACCCGCACGAAUGGCGUAACGAUUUGGGCGCUGUCUCGGAGAGAGGCUCGGUGAAAUAGACAUGUCUGUGAAGAUGCGGACUACCUUCACCUGGACAGAAAGACCCUAUGAAGCUUUACUGUAGCCUGACAUUGGGUUUGGGCUCGUCUUGCGCAGCUUAGGUGGAAGGCGUUGAUCAUCUUCUUCCGGGAAGAUAGGAGCCAACAGUGAGAUCCCACUCUGGACGAGCUAGAAUUCUAAAGGCGACCCUUCAGCAGGGCGCUAGACCGUGUCAGGUGGGCAGUUUGACUGGGGCGGUCGCCUCCUAAAAGGUAACGGAGGCGUGCAAAGGUUCCCUCAGGCUGGACGGAAAUCAGCUGGCGAGUAUAAAGGCAUAAGGGAGCUUGACUGCAAGACCUACAAGUCGAGCAGGGACGAAAGUCGGUCUUAGUGAUCCGACGGUGCCGCGUGGAAGGGCCGUCGCUCAACGGAUAAAAGUUACUCUAGGGAUAACAGGCUGAUCUCCCCCAAGAGUUCACAUCGACGGGGAGGUUUGGCACCUCGAUGUCGGCUCAUCGCAACCUGGGGCGGAAGUACGUCCCAAGGGUUGGGCUGUUCGCCCAUGAAAGCGGUACGUGAGCUGGGUUCAGAACGUCGUGAGACAGUUCGGUCCAUAUCCGGUGGAGGCGUUAGAGUCUUGAGAGGAUCCUUCCCUAGUACGAGAGGACCGGAAAGGACGCACCGCUGGUGUGCCAGUUAUCGUGCCAACGGUACACGCUGGGUAGCCAAGUGCGGAGUGGAUAACUGCUGACAGCAUCUAAGUAGGAAGCCCACCUCAAGAUGAGGACUCUCUUAUAGGUCACGGCAAGACGAGCCGUUUGAUAGGGGUCAGGUAGAAUGCCAGUAAUGGUGGUAGCCUAGACCUACUAAUAGACCGAGCGAUUUUGAC
rnacentral:rRNA from 1 species